rnacentral:sRNA from 10 species
UUCGCUGAAUUUCGGCGAUCUGCUAAACACAUCCGCGCGCAGGUCCGAAUUGCAACCGGGCCCUCUCCUUCCUGGAGUGUCCCUGCGCG